UAGGAUAUUAACUAAUUGGGUAGUAACGAGCCAUCUGAAACCCAAAGGAUUUGGCGGUGUUCCAUACAGUUGGGGGAAUCUGUUACAUAAUUGACAGUCCACAUCUCAUCUUGCCUCACUUCUACCUGCAUAUCGCCAUUUUAAGAGGCUGCUCAAAAAUACUCUCUAACCCAAUUCUAUCCCACAAAUUAGGUCAAGAUACAGUAUAGUAAGGUCGUAAUGGAUUACAAUGCCAAUUAAGUAAACGGAUCGGCUAGAGAAACUAGCCCUGAAGGUGGAUUCAACAGUAAUAUGAGAGUAAAGUGCUCAUAUGGACAGAUACCUGGAACAUGU
rnacentral:rRNA from 1 species